rnacentral:rRNA from 1 species
UCAGGAUGAACGCUAGCUACAGGCUUAACACAUGCAAGUCGAGGGGUAACAGGAGAGAAGCUUGCGUUUCUUGCUGACGACCGGCGCACGGGUGAGUAACGCGUAUCCAACCUCCCCUUAGUAGCAGAUAGCCCGGCGAAAGUCGGAUUAAUACGCUAUGUUCUUCGUUGAUGGCAUCUGAUGUGAAGCAAAGAUUAAUCGCUAAGGGAUGGGGAUGCGUCUGAUUAGGUAGUCGGCGGGGUAACGGCCCACCGAGCCAUCGAUCAGUAGGGGUUCUGAGAGGAAGGUCCCCCACACUGGUACUGAGACACGGACCAGACUCCUACGGGAGGCAGCAGCGAGGAAUAUUGGUCAAUGGGCGCGAGCCUGAACCAGCCAAGUAGCGUGCAGGAAUGACUGCCCUAUGGGUUGUAAACUGCUUUUAUCAGGGAAUAAAGUGAGGCACGUGUGCCUUUUUGUAUGUACCUGAUGAAUAAGGACCGGCUAAUUCCGUGCCAGCAGCCGC